AUUGAACGCUGGCGGCAGGCUUAACACAUGCAAGUCGAACGAUGACGGUACUGCUUGCAGUACCUAAUUAGUGGCGGACGGGUGAGUAACGCUUAGGAAUCUACCUAAUAAUGGGGGAUAGCCCGGGGAAACUCGGAUUAAUACCGCAUACGUCUUACGAGAGAAAGGGGGCUACUUGUAGCUCUCGUUAUUAGAUGAGCCUAAGUUAGAUUAGCUAGAUGGUGGGGUAAAGGCCUACCAUGGCGACGAUCUAUAGCUGGUCUGAGAGGAUGAUCAGCCACACCGGAACUGAGACACGGUCCGGACUCCUACGGGAGGCAGCAGUGGGGAAUAUUGGACAAUGGGGGCAACCCUGAUCCAGCCAUGCCGCGUGUGUGAAGAAGGCCUUUUGGUUGUAAAGCACUUUAAGUAGCGAAGAAGACCCCAUGGUUAAUACCCAUGGGCGAUGACAUUAACUACAGAAUAAGCACCGGCUAACUCUGUGCCAGCAGCCGCGGUAAUACAGAGGGUGCGAGCGUUAAUCGGAAUUACUGGGCGUAAAGCGAGCGUAGGUGGUCUAAUAAGUCGGAUGUGAAAUCCCCGGGCUCAACCUGGGAACUGCAUCUGAAACUGUUAAACUAGAGUAGGUGAGAGGGGAGUAGAAUUUCAGGUGUAGCGGUGAAAUGCGUAGAUAUCUGAAGGAAUACCGAUGGCGAAGGCAGCUCCCUGGCAUCAUACUGACACUGAGCUCGAAGGCGUGGGUAGCAAACAGG
rnacentral:rRNA from 1 species